UUUCAGGUUAGGCUGUUGUAUGCCUAGAUUGUGAAGCUUUUUCUUCUUUGGUCCUCAGAUGUCAGUAUUGAACAUGGUGGUGAGCCGCAGCCCUGGCAACACGGAACCUGUGAAGGCGAAAGAAGAAUUGAUCUUCCACUGUGGAUUCAGGCGCUUCCGAGCUUCACCUUUAUUCUCUCAGCACACAGCAGCUGAUAAACAUAAAUUUCAAAGAUUCCUGACUGCUGAUGCGGCCUUAGUGGUGACAGUAUUUGCACCAAUCACGUUCCCUCCUGCAUCUGUGCUGCUUUUCAAGCAGAGGAGAAAUGGAAUGCACAGCCUCAUUGCUACAGGCCAUCUGUUUUCAGUGGAUCCAGACAGGAUGGUCAUAAAGAGAGUGGUUCUAAGUGGUCAUCCUUUCAAAAUUUUUACUAAGACGGCAGUAGUGCGCUACAUGUUCUUCAGCAGAGACGAUGUGCUGUGGUUUAAGCCUGUGGAACUGAGAACCAAGUGGGGCCGCCGGGGACACAUCAAAGAGCCGCUGGGUACACAUGGCCAUAUGAAGUGCAGUUUUGAUGGGAAGCUAAAAUCUCAGGAUACAGUAUUAAUGAAUCUCUAUAAGCGAGUGUUUCCCAAAUGGACUUAUGACCCGUAUGUACCAGAGCCAGUACUUUGGGUUAAAAGUGACAUCUCUUCAACAGUGUCUGAAGUAGACAUGGAGUAAUGGCCACUCAGUUGGGUUCCUCCAGCCAAGGCUCCAGUGUUGGAGUUGUUGGGUUGUGACUAGGCUGUCUGUGUCUCUGC
rnacentral:lncRNA from 1 species